rnacentral:rRNA from 1 species
AACGAACGCUGGCGGCAUGCCUAACACAUGCAAGUCGAACGAUGCCUUCGGGCAUAGUGGCGCACGGGUGCGUAACGCGUGGGAAUCUGCCUUUCGGUUCGGAAUAACUCAGGGAAACUUGAGCUAAUAUCGGAUAACGUCGCAAGACCAAAGAUUUAUCACCGAAAGAUGAGCCCGCGUAGGAUUAGCUAGUUGGUGAGGUAAAGGCGCACCAAGGCGACGAUCCUUAGCUGGUCUGAGAGGAUGAGCAGCCACACUGGGACUGAGACGCGGCCCAGACUCCUGCGGGAGGCGGCAGUGGGGAAUACAGGACUAUGGGCGAAAGCCUGAUCCAGCUAUGCCGCGUGAGUGAUGAAGGCCUUAGGGAUGUAAAGCUCUUUUACCCGGGAAGAUAAUGACGGUACCGGGAGAAUAAGCCCCGGCUAACUCCGUG